ACUAUUUUGGCAGAAAAAUGUUAUAAAUUUAGAAUUUAUAUAUGUAAAUUAAAUUUACAAAUAGUA
rnacentral:tRNA from 1 species